AGAGUUUGAUCAUGGCUCAGAUUGAACGCUGGCGGCAUGCCUUACACAUGCAAGUCGAACGGCAGCACGGGAGCAAUCCUGGUGGCGAGUGGCGAACGGGUGAGUAAUAUAUCGGAACGUGCCCAGUCGUGGGGGAUAACGUAGCGAAAGCUACGCUAAUACCGCAUACGAUCUACGGAUGAAAGCGGGGGACUCGUAAGGGCCUCGCGCGAUUGGAGCGGCCGAUAUCAGAUUAGGUUGUUGGUGAGGUAAAAGCUCACCAAGCCUGCGAUCUGUAGCUGGUCUGAGAGGACGACCAGCCACACUGGAACUGAGACACGGUCCAGACUCCUACGGGAGGCAGCAGUGGGGAAUUUUGGACAAUGGACGCAAGUCUGAUCCAGCAAUGCCGCGUGCAGGACGAAGGCCUUCGGGUUGUAAACUGCUUUUGUACGGAACGAAACGGUCUGCUUUAAUACAGCGGGCUAAUGACGGUACCGUAAGAAUA
rnacentral:rRNA from 1 species